AGAUACCCCCGUAGUCCCAGCCGUAAACUAUGCUCGCUAGGUGUCAGGCAUGGCGCGACCGUGUCUGGUGCCGCAGGGAAGCCGUGAAGCGAGCCACCUGGGAAGUACGGCCGCAAGGCUGAAACUUAAAGGAAUUGGCGGGGAGCACCACAACGGGUGGAGCCUGCGGUUUAAUUGGACUCAACGCCGGGAAGCUCACCGGAUAAGACAGCGGAAUGAUUGCCGGGCUGAAGACUCUGCAUGACUAGCUG
rnacentral:rRNA from 1 species